rnacentral:rRNA from 1 species
GCCGAACGCUGGCGGCGUGCUUAACACAUGCAAGUCGAACGGAAAGGCCCUGCUUUUGUGGGGUGCUCGAGUGGCGAACGGGUGAGUAACACGUGAGUAACCUGCCAUUGACUUUGGGAUAACUUCAGGAAACUGGGGCUAAUACCGGAUAGGAGCUCCUGCUGCAUGGUGGGGGUUGGAAAGUUUCGGCGGUUGGGGAUGGACUCGCGGCUUAUCAGCUUGUUGGUGGGGUAGUGGCUUACCAAGGCUUUGACGGGUAGCCGGCCUGAGAGGGUGACCGGCCACAUUGGGACUGAGAUACGGCCCAGACUCCUACGGGAGGCAGCAGUGGGGAAUAUUGCACAAUGGGCGGAAGCCUGAUGCAGCAACGCCGCGUGCGGGAUGACGGCCUUCGGGUUGUAAACCGCUUUCGCCUGUGACGAAGCGUGAGUGACGGUAAUGGGUAAAGAAGCACCGGCUAACUACGUG